rnacentral:rRNA from 1 species
UACGAAGGGGGCUAGCGUUGUUCGGAAUUACUGGGCGUAAAGCGUGCGCAGGCGGUUUGUUAAGUCUGUUGUGAAAUCCCCGAGCUCAACUUGGGAAUUGCAAUGGAUACUGGCAGGCUCGAGUAUGGUAGAGGAAGGUGGAAUUCCCGGUGUAGCAGUGAAAUGCGUAGAGAUCGGGAGGAACACCAGUGGCGAAGGCGGCCUUCUGGACCAAUACUGACGCUCAUGCACGAAAGCGUGGGGAGCAAACAGG